rnacentral:rRNA from 1 species
CCUACGGGUGGCAGCAGUGAGGAAUAUUGGUCAAUGGACGAGAGUCUGAACCAGCCAAGUAGCGUGAAGGAUGACUGCCCUAUGGGUUGUAAACUUCUUUUAUAUGGGAAUAAAACGUUCCACGUGUGGGAUUUUGUAUGUACCAUAUGAAUAAGGAUCGGCUAACUCCGUGCCAGCAGCCGCGGUAAUACGGAGGAUCCGAGCGUUAUCCGGAUUUAUUGGGUUUAAAGGGAGCGUAGGUGGAUUGUUAAGUCAGUUGUGAAAGUUUGCGGCUCAACCGUAAAAUUGCAGUUGAAACUGGCAGUCUUGAGUACAGUAGAGGUGGGCGGAAUUAGUGGUGUAGCGGUGAAAUGCUUAGAUAUCACGAAGAACUCCGAGUGCGAAGGCAGUUCACUGGACUGCAACUGACACUGAGGCUCGAAAGUGUGGGUAUCAAACAGGAUUAGAUACCCGAGUAGUC